rnacentral:rRNA from 1 species
AUUGAACGCUGGCGGCAGGCCUAACACAUGCAAGUCGAGCGGCAGCGGGAAGUAACUUGUUACUUUGCCGGCGAGCGGCGGACGGGUGAGUAAUGGCUGGGAACCUGCCCUAACGAGGGGGAUAACAGUUGGAAACGACUGCUAAUACCGCAUAAUGUCUUCGGACCAAAGAAGGGGAUCUUCGGACCUUUCGCGUUAGGAUGGGCCCAGUGGGGAUUAGCUUGUUGGUGAGGUAAUGGAUCACCAAGGCGACGAUCUCUAGCUGGUUUGAGAGGAUGAUCAGCCACACUGGAACUGAGACACGGUCCAGACUCCUACGGGAGGCAGCAGUGGGGAAUAUUGCACAAUGGGCGCAAGCCUGAUGCAGCCAUGCCGCGUGUAUGAAGAAGGCCUUCGGGUUGUAAAGUACUUUCAGUCGUGAGGAAGGUUGUAGUGUGAAUAGCACUAUGAUUUGACGUUAGCGACAGAAGAAGCACCGGCUAACUCCGUGCCAGCAGCCGCAGUAAAAC